UUAAGCAUAUCAAUAAGCGGAGGAAAAGAAACCAACAGGGAUUGCCUUAGUAGCGGCGAGCGAAGCGGCAACAGCUCAAAUUUGAAAUCUGGCUACUUUGUAGUCCGAGUUGUAAUUUGUAGAGGAUGCUUUUGGUGAGGUGCCUUCCGAGUUCCCUGGAACGGGACGCCAGAGAGGGUGAGAGCCCCGUACGGUUGGAUACCAAACCUUUGUAUAGCUCCUUCAACGAGUCGAGUAGUUUGGGAAUGCUGCUCUAAAUGGGAGGUAUAUCUCUUCUAAAGCUAAAUACCGGCUAGAGACCGAUAGCGCACAAGUAGAGUGAUCGAAAGAUGAAAAGCACUUUGAAAAGAGAGUUAAACAGCACGUGAAAUUGUUGAAAGGGAAGCGCCUAUGACCAGACUUGUUUCUGUCAGUUUUGCUCGUUCUCGGACCUGCUUACUCUGUCAGUACAGGCCAACAUCAGUUUGUUGUUUGGGAGAAAGGCUUAGGGAAUGUGGCUCUUUCGGGAGUGUUAUAGCCCUUUGCAUAAUACCAUUCGGCAGACUGAGGACCGCGCUUCGGCAAGGAUGUUGGCGUAAUGGUCAUCAGCGACCCGUCUUGAAACACGGACCAAGGAGUCAACCUUAUGUGCGAGUGUUUGGGUGUAAAACCCCAGCGCGUAAUGAACGUGAACGUAGGUGAGAGCUUCGGCGCAUCAUCGACCGAUUCUGAUGUUCUCGGAUGGAUUUGAGUAAGAGCAUAUAGGGUUGGACCCGAAAGAAGGUGAACUAUGCUUGUAUAGGGUGAAGCCAGAGGAAACUCUGGUGGAGGCUCGCAGCGGUUCUGACGUGCAAAUCGAUCGUCAAAUAUGAGCAUGGGGGCGAAAGACUAAUCGAACCUUCUAGUAGCUGGUUCCAGCCGAAGU
rnacentral:rRNA from 1 species